ensembl:snRNA U6 U6 spliceosomal RNA
GUGCUUGCUUUGGCAGCACAUAUACUAAAAUUGGAAUGCUACAGAUAAGAGCAUGGCCCUGUGCAAGAUUGACAUGAAUUUAUGAAGCAUUCCAUAUUUUU